rnacentral:rRNA from 1 species
UGAGUACGAGCGGCUACGGCCGCGAAGUAGAUGAUGUCAAGCUUCCAAGAAAAGCCCUAUACCCGUUAAGGCAUGAUGGCCUGUACCCGAAACCGACACAGGUGGGGUGGUAGAGAAUACCGAGGGGCGCGAGGUAACUCUCUCUAAGGAACUCGGCAAAAUGGCCCCGUAACUUCGGGAGAAGGGGUGCCACCGCGAGGUGGUCGCAGUGAAGAGGCCCAGGCGACUGUUUACCAAAAACACAGGUCUCCGCUAAGUCGCAAGACGAUGUAUGGGGGCUGACGCCUGCCCAGUGCCGGAAGGUUAAGGAAGCUGGUCAGCGCAAGCGAAGCUGGCGACUGAAGCCCCGGUGAACGGCGGCCGUAACAAUAACGGUCCUAAGGUAGCGAAAUUCCUUGUCGGGUAAGUUCCGACCCGCACGAAAGGCGUAACGAUCUGGGCGCUGUCUCGGAGAGAGGCUCGGCGAAAUGGAAUUGUCUGUGAAGAUGCGGACUACGUGCACCCGGACAGAAAGACCCUAUGAAGCUUUACUGUAGCUUGGUAUUGUGCUCGGGCUCGGAAUGCGCAGGAUAGGUGGGAGGCUUUGAUCCAUUGCUUGCGGGUGAUGGUGAGCCACUGGUGAGAUACCACUCUUUCCGAGCUAGAGUUCUAACAGCAACCCGUUAUCCGGGUGCUGGACAGUAUCAGGUGGGCAGUUUGACUGGGGCGGUCGCCUCCUAAAAGGUAACGGAGGCGCGCAAAGGUCUGCUCAGGCUGGUUGGAAAUCAGCCGACGAGUGUAAAAGCAGAAGCAGGCUUGACUGUGAGACCUACAAGUCGAACAGGGAGGAAACUCGGCUUUAGUGAUCCGACGGUUCUGCGUGGAAGGGCCGUCGCUCAACGGAUAAAAGUUACUCUAGGAUAACAGGCUGAUCUCCCCCAAGAGUUCACAUCGACGGGGAGGUUUGGCACCUCGAUGUCGGCUCAUCGCAACCUGGGGCUGAAGUCGGUCCCAAGGGUUGGGCUGUUCGCCCAUUAAAGCGGUACGCGAGCUGGGUUCAGAACGUCGUGAGACAGUUCGGUCCAUAUCCGGUGCACGCGCAGGAAUAUUGAGAGGAUUUCUCCCUAGUACGAGAGGACCGGGAGGAACGCACCUCUGGUGUGCCAGUUAUCGUGCCAACGGUAAACGCUGGGUAGCCAUGUGCGGAGUGGAUAACCGCUGAAAGCAUCUAAGUGGGAAGCCCACCUCAAGAUGAGUAUUCCCAUGGCAUAAGCCAGCAAGGUCACGGGUAGAACACCCGUUGAUAGGCUCUACGUGGAAGCGCAGUAAUGUGUGAAGCGGAGGAGUACUAAUAGACCGAGGGCUUG